GAUUUGUUUCUAAUUAAUUAAUUAUUUAUUCUGAUUUUUUUCUUUUGUUUUUCUAGGAUUUUGAUUGUCUAGUUAGAAUUUGCAAUGUCUACGAAUUUAUCAAAAAAAGAUAAAAAAGAUAUUGGUUGGAAGUAUUGUUAUCAAAAUGAAGGGGAAAAAAUUGUUCGGUGCAAAUUUUGUCAUCAUAUAUCGAAUGGAGGGAUUACUCGCUUGAAGGAACAUUUAGCUCAAACUCAUAAAGGGGUUGCACCUUGUGUUAGUGUUCCGGAUGAUAUUAAGAAAGAAAUUAGAGAAUCACUUGACAAAAUUAGAGCAUCUAAAAGUAAACAAACUGAAUUGUUACGAGAGAUCGGUGAAGGUCCCCAAAGUAUGAGUACGCAAUCAUCAAAAGUUGGAAGUGUAGGGGGAAAUUCAAUUGGAUGUUCUGGUAGUGGUGAAUCAAAAGGUAAAGGUACUCUUCAUGGGUUUGUUAGUUCCGAACCUCGACAAACAACCCUAAAUUCGACAUACAAAAAAGAUUUGUUGGUUGAUGUGAAGCGUAGAAUUGGUCGUUUUAUUUACUCUGCCGCACUUCCGUUUAAUGUUGUGAAUGAUCCUUAUUGGCUGCCUAUGGUUGAGGGCAUUGCGGAAUAUGGAAGAGGGUUCAAGCCUCCUUCAAUGCAUGAGUUAAGAACUUGGAUACUUAAAGCUGAGGUUGAUGGCAUCAACCUAAUAUAUGAGGAGCAUAAAAAGGCAUGGAAAAAAUAUGGAUGCACUAUUAUGUCCGAUGGUUGGACGGAUGGAAAGAAUAGAAGUUUGAUCAAUUUUUUAGUAAAUAGUCCCGCCGGCACUUUCUUUUUGAAAUCUAUUGAUGCAUCAGAUUCUAUUAAAAAUGGGGAAUUGAUCUUUAAAUAUCUUAAUGAUGUUGUUGAUGAGGUGGGAGAGGAAAAUGUAAUUCAAAUUGUCACGGAUAAUGCUUCGAAUUGCAUUAAGGCGGGGGAAAAAAUUAUGGAGACUAGACAUAGAAUUUGGUGGACACCUUGUGCGGUGCAUUGCAUUGAUCUAAUGUUGGAGGAUAUUGCAAAGUUGAAGAUUUUUUUUGACACAAUUGAGCAUGCUAAGAUGGUUGUGAAGUUCCUUUAUGGUCAUGGGACUAUACUUUCUUUGAUGAGAAAGUAUACAAACGGUAAAGAAAUUCUCCGUCCCGCUGUUACUCGCUUUGCUACUUCAUUUCUCACUCUUCAGAGUAUGUAUAAGGUUAAAAGGCCACUUGAACAAAUGUUUGCUUCCGAAGAUUGGGUUAGUUCACCACUAUCUCAAACAACUCAGGGGAAGGUCGUGAAGAGAAUUGUUAUUAAUGAUCCCAACUUUUGGCCACAUGUUGCAUUUUGUGUUAAGAGUGUUGUUCCUCUUGUAAGUGUGUUAAGGGAAGUUGAUUCGGAGGAGAGAUCGGCCAUGGGAUAUAUUUAUGAACUUAUGGAUAAGGCAAAAGAGACAAUAAAAUUUAAUUGUGGGGGAGUUGACAGAAAAUACAAACCCAUUUGGAAAAAAAUUGAUUCAUGAUGGACUCCACAACUUCAUCAUCCUCUACACGCGGCCGGGUACUAUUUGAAUCCGCAAUUGCGUUAUGAAGAAAGAUUUUCUUAUUGUGAUGAAGUUAGAGAUGGAUUGUAUACUUGCAUGGAUAGGAUGUUGUCUUCUGAUGAUCGUCUUAAAGCAGACAUCCAAUUGGACUUAUAUAAUAAAGCUGAAGGAGAAUUUGGAACUCCAAUAGCAAAACGAACAAGAAUGUUGCGAACUCCGGGUAAAAUUUUCUUCUUGUAACCGUUCUUGUAAAAUUAUACUAGCAUUCAUAUUUUAAAAUUAUAUACAUUCUUGUAAUUUUUUUUAAUGUUAUUACUUAUUAGUCUCGUGGUGGGAACGUUUUGGAAGUAAGACACCCGAGCUUACUACAUUUGCAAUUCGAGUGCUUGGUCUCACUUGUAGUGCUUCGGGAUGUGAAAGAAAUUGGAGCACUUUUGAAUCGGUGAGUAUUCUAAGUUUCUAACUCUACUUGAAUUUUAAUUGUUUUAUAAUUUUCAUAUCAUUGUUUAUUUUUAUAUAUAUAUGUUUUCUUUUUUGUAAUAUUAGAUUCAUACAAAAAAGAGAAAUAGGCUUGAACAUGCAAAGUUGAAUGCGUUGGUGUUUGUGAAAUAUAACUUCAAGCUUAGGGAGAGAAGUAUUAGGAGGAGAGACAAGAUUGAUCCCAUUGUAGUUGAUGAAAUUAAUUCAGAUGAUGAAUGGAUAACUGAGAAAGAAGGUCCAGUUCUCCCCGUAACUACUAAAUGGCUUGAAGAUGAUGAAUUAUUUGAAAGUGAUCCUAUUGUGAGUGUGUCAUCUGCUACCUUUGAAAGUCUUUUCGACUCAGAUAAGCGAGUUGAAGAUGUUGAGGAUAUAGUUGAAGUUCCUCCUACGAAUUCAAAAAAAAGAGUUGCUGAAAAUUCAAGUGGAAGCAAAGACAAACAAGCAAGGUUGAGUCUUGUUGAUGUGGAAGAUAAUCAUCUUGAUGCUGAAAAUUAUGGAGUAAUUCCAACUUUUGAUAGUGGAAAUUUUCCAACCAUAGACACUAUUGAUGAUGAUAGUGAUAUAGAGUUGGAUGAUACUGAUUAUUUUUAAGUUAUGUUGUUUUAAUUAUAAGACUUUUUAAAUUGUUGGUAUGGGAUAUUUUGACAUGUAAUGAAUUAUUAUGAUUAAUUUUAGGUUAUGUUAUUUUUA